rnacentral:rRNA from 1 species
UACAGAGGUGCCGAGCGUUAGGCGGAAUCACUGGGCUUAAAGCGCGUGUAGGCGGGUCGUUAAGUGUCCGCGUGAAAUCCCACGGCUCAACCGUGGAACUGCCGGGCAUACUGGCGACCUUGAGGCACUUAGGGCGAGCGGAACAAAUGGUGGAGCGGUGAAAUGCGUAGAUAUCAUUUGGAACGCCGACGGUGAAAACAGCUCGCUGGGAGUGAUCCUGACGCUGAGACGGCGAAAGCCAGGGGAGCGAACGGG